rnacentral:lncRNA from 1 species
AGCGAAGGCUCUGCUGCCUGCAGGGCAGAGAGGAGAGGGAGGAGGCCAGCGAGAGGGAGCCUCUGUCGGGGCGUGGGAGGAAAGCAAGAUAACGCAGGCGACCCGAGAAGGACGGUCCAGGCCUUCCAGAGGCUGGGGUUCAUCUAGAGACCUGCUGAGGAGGGGCCACACUCGCCUCUUUUGCUCGCAGCAAUCUAUUCUGCCAGGGGAUUCCCUGGAACACAAGAAUCCUGGGGCUCUAAGGGACCCUAAAGAGCGUCUGGUCCUGCUCCUUCCUUCAUCCGUGACGAAACUUGGGAUGGGAAGGCUGUUCAUGCUGGGUUUCCUCUGGGAGUGAGACCUCAAGACAACUGUGGCAGUUCCUGAUAGAAACACUAAAUAAACGAGGUCCUCUGUGGCAAGGGCUAACGCUUCCAGAAGCUUCUGAAUAGAUCAUUCUAUUUGACAAACAGUUAUAAAAUGCACACUAUUACCAAACACUGUGCUAGAUGGUGGUAAGAGAAGCAUGACUAGAAUGGAAUGUUAGGCUUUUUGAAGCUUAUAAAUAAGUGGGUGAAAUUGGUCAUGAUUAACUUUGACGUAUGAUAGUGGUGGUGAGUAAUCAGGCAGAGGUUUGCCCAGAGUGCUAUAGGAGCCAGCAGCUUGGAGAUCCAGGGAGGCUUCUUACAGGAAGUGACCCUUGGUGUGGGAAGGGUUUUCCAUAAAGGGAAGACAGCAUGAGCAAAAGCUCAGAGACAUUAAUCAGCACCGAUUGAAUCAUUCAUUCAUGUCUACAAUAAUCACCACUCACUAGGUGCAAAGUAAUGUACAGAAUCUAUGCAAGCCACAUCUAGCAUAGAUAAUAAGUUAUCAUUUCUAUAAUCAAGUUGAUUCCAAU